AGAGUUUGAUCCUGGCUCAGGACGAACGCUGGCGGCGUGCUUAACACAUGCAAGUCUAAGGAGAAAGUUCUUUCGGGAGCAAGUAAACUGGCGAACGGGUGAGUAACGCGUAGGUAACCUACCCUUAAGUUCGGGAUAACCCAUCGAAAGGCGGGCUAAUACCGGAUAAUAUCUUUCCUCAUAAGGGGGAAAGAUCGAAGGUGGCUUCGGCUAUCACUUAUGGAUGGGCCUGCGUCUGAUUAGCUAGUUGGUAAGGUAAUGGCUUACCAAAGCAAUGAUCAGUAGCUGGUCUGAGAGGGCGAUCAGCCACAUUGGGACUGAGAUACGGCCCAGACUCCUACGGGAGGCAGCAGUGGGGAAUUUUGCGCAAUGAGCGAAAGCUUGACGCAGCAACGCCGCGUGAUCGAAGAAGCUCUGCGGAGUGUAAAGAUCUGUCAUAGGGGAAGAUAAGUCCCGUUAUUAACACCAUCGGGAUGUGACGGUACCCUAUAAGAAAGCCCCGGCUAACUUCGUGCCAGCAGCCGCGGUAAUACGAGGGGGGCAAGCGUUGUCCGGAUUUAUUGGGCGUAAAGGGUUCGUAGGCGGGCUAAUAAGUCAAAAUUGAAAGCCCACGGCUUAACCGUGGAGGUGGUUUUGAUACUGUUAGUCUUGAGUGAGGUAGGGGUAAGCGGAAUUCCUGGUGUAGCGGUGAAAUGCGUAGAUAUCAGGAGGAACACCAAAGGCGAAGGCAGCUUACUGGGCCUAUACUGACGCUGAGGAACGAAAGCGUGGGUAGCAAACAGGAUUAGAGACCCUGGUAGUCCACGCCGUAAACGAUGAGCACUUGGUGGUGGGGGAUUCGACCCCUUCGCUGCCGGAGUUAACGCAUUAAGUGCUCCGCCUGGGGACUACGGCCGCAAGGCUAAAACUCAAAGGAAUUGACGGGGGCCCGCACAAGCGGUGGAGCGUGUGGUUUAAUUCGAUGAUAAGCGAAGAACCUUACCAGGGCUUGACAUGGCGGUGGUANNNNNNNNNGAACGGGUGGGGACCCUUCGGGGAGCGAGCACAGGUGCUGCAUGGCUGUCGUCAGCUCGUGCCGUGAGGUGUUGGGUUAAGUCCCGCAACGAGCGCAACCCUCGUCGCUAGUUGAAUUCUCUAGCGAGACAGCCCCUUAAAGAGGGGGAGGAAGGUGGGGAUGACGUCAAGUCAGCAUGGCCCUUACACCCUGGGCUACACACACGCUACAAUGAUCGGGACAAAGGGUUGCGAAACCGCGAGGUGGAGCUAAUCCCAUCAAACCCGAUCUCAGUGGGGAUUGCAGGCUGAAACCCGCCUGCAUGAACGUGGAGUUGCUAGUAACCGCAGGUCAGCAUUACUGCGGUGAAUACGUUCCCGGGCCUUGUACACACCGCCCGUCACGUCAUGGAAGCCGACAAUGCCUGAAGUCCGUGGGCUAACCCUUCGGGGAGGCAGCGGCCGAGGGUGGGGCCGGUGACUGGGACGAAGUCGUAACAAGGUAG
rnacentral:rRNA from 1 species